rnacentral:lncRNA from 1 species
AUAGCUGGUUUACUGUCUUCUGUCAAUUUUCUACUGUACAGCAAGGUGACCCAGUCAUAUAUAUACAUAUAUAUUCUUUUUUCUCAUAUUAUCAUGCUCCAUCUCAAGUGACUAGAUACAGUUCCCAGUGCUAUACAGCAGGACUCACUGUAUAUCUACUUCAAAGGCAAUAGUUUGCAUCUAUUAACCCCAAAGUUCCAGUCCAUCCCACUCACUCCCCCUCCCACUUGGCAACCACAAGUCUGUUCUCCAUGUCCAUGAUUUUCUUUUCUGUGGAAAGGUUCAUUUGUGCAGUACAGUAGAUUCCAGGUAUAAAUGAUAUCAUAUGGUAUUUGUCUUUUUCUUUCUGACUUACUUCACUUAGUAGAAAAAAGGGAUGUUACUUAUUGAGUCCCCAGACUCAAAUAUAUAUUGAUUUUUUUUUUUUUUUUUGCUUUUUAAGGCUGAACCCACAGCAUGUGGAAGUUCCUGGUUUAGGGCUCAAAUUAGAGCCAUAGCCUCUAGUCUAUGCCACAGCCACAGCAAUGCCAGAUCUGAACAACAUCUGUGAACUACACUCAGCUCUCAGCUAUGCCAGAUCCUCAACCUAUGAAGCGAGGCCAGGGAUUGAACUGGUAUCCUCAGUUCUUAGCCCACUGAGCCACAAAGGGAACUCCUACAGUGAUAAUUUAAAAAAAAAAAAAAAAAAAAGAAAGAAAACUUCAAAGCUAAAAAUUGGAGUUCCUGUCCUGGCUCAGUAGUAACGAACCUAAUAUACAUGAGGAUGCAGAUUUGAUUCCUGGCCUCACUCAGUGGGUUAAGGAUCCGGCAUUGCUGGGAGCUAUGGUAUAGAUCGUAUAUGUGGCUUGGAUCUGGCAUUGCUGUGGCUGUGGUGUAGGCCGGGAGCUACAGCUCAGAUUUGACCCCUACCUGGAAACUUCCAUUUUAUGGUCCUAAAAAGACAAAAAAAAAAAAAAGUUAAAAAAAAGAAAGAAUAAAAAGCUAAAAAUUGCUUAAUAUCAGGCAAUGAAACUAUAAAACAGGCUGAUAAAGCAACUCCUAAAUCUUAAUUUCUAAACUCUUAAUUUUUUCAAGUUUCUUAUGAAAUUCAAACUUUGAAAUCUCCCAGGUAAAGUACCUCACUGAAAAAUAAAUUACUUAAAUUUGUCUACAUUUUUCCUAGCUAUACGAGAAUUGCUGAAAGAUAUGUUGAAAUUUCUUUAGGUAACACAGAAGGUAACUUUUAUUUUUUUAAAGAAAAGCUGGUAAUGGAAUUGAUGUACUGUUUUCCUGGGAUGUUAUAGAAAAUUUCUUCCCCAAAUUCCUGUUGUGGCUCAGUGGUAACAAACCCACCUAGGAUCCAUGAGGAUUCAGGUUUGAUCCCUGGCCUCACUUAGUGGAUUAAGGAUCCAGCAUGGCCUUGACCUGUGGUGUAGGUCACAGACACAGGUCAGAUCUGGCAUUGCUGUGGCUGUCAUGUAGGCCAGCAGCUGCAGCUGACUUGACGCCUAGCCUGGGAACUUCCAUAUGCUGUGGGAGCAGCCCUCAAAAGACCAAAGAAAAAAUUCUUUUCAUUUAACUAUUCCAAGUGUUGGUGGUUAGAAGUUUCAAAUUCUUUCAAAGUCUUGGCUGUAUUUCAGAAAGAGGUCAGUUUCAAAAUACCAGGAAAGGAGAUUAAAUUGUUAAUCAUAUUUUAUCCUGGAGAUUAAAUACCAAAAUUCUCUGUUCUGAAACAUCUACAAUCAAUAUCUAUGAACUAGGUUUAAAAUUACGAUUAUGAACAAUUCACUUGCCAAACUUUAAAACUUAUAAAGACUGGUCCUACUAGGCCAGUUUUACCAGGUAAGUUGUUCCCUUAUUAUAAACUAAGUCCUCCUGUGUUAUCAAAAUUUCAUUUAAGGCAUGGAGGCAGUGAUAAUAUUAGUGGUGAUUUAAAAAAACUCUUUGUUUUCCCAAAGAAAUAUUUAACUCUGAAUUGUGAAUUUUGAAAAUAUCACAAUGGUACUAGAAUGGGAAAACUGAUCCAGGAGUUCAUUAUUCCCUUUAUCAUUAUGUAUACUGGCAACAUGACCACAAGUGAAAUUUUAGUGCUGAAUUUUCCUUACUCAAAACAAAAUCAUUUCUUUCUCUACCAAAAUAUAAAGAAUUGUUUUUUUGUUUCCAUGAGUUAAAUUCUUAGUCACAUCAUGUGAAAAAUAAACAAUAAUUUCUUCAUAAUUACAGAAAAUGUUGGUAAUUACAAUUUACAGUUAAGAGGUUUUAAUAGUGAUUAUUCAUUGAUUGUUCUAACAAAUUUCAAAUUGUAAGUUAUAAAUAUAAAUAUAAAAUUUUAAAUAAAUUUUAUGUUAAUGAUGUUUUCUUUUUUACUG